UACAGAGGUGGCGAGCGUUAUUCGGAAUUAUUGGGCGUAAAGGGCGCGUAGGCGGCUUGACAAGUCCCGGGUGAAAUCCCUCGGCUCAACCGAGGAACUGCCUUGGAAACUGUCUGGCUUGAGGCCGGGAGAGGGUAGUGGAAUUCCCAGUGUAGCGGUGAAAUGCGUAGAUACUGGGAGGAACACCUGUGGCGAAGGCGGCUACCUGGACCGGUUCUGACGCUGAGGCGCGAAAGCGUGGGUAGCAAACAGG
rnacentral:rRNA from 1 species